rnacentral:rRNA from 1 species
AUUGAACGCUGGCGGCAGGCCUAACACAUGCAAGUCGAACGAGUGGCGGACGGGUGAGUGAUGUCUGGGAACCUGCCUGAUGGAGGGGUAUAACUACUGGAAACGGUAGCUAAUACCGCAUACCAUCAGAUGUGCCCUGAUGGGAUUAGCUUGUGGGUGGGGUAACGGCUCCCCAAGGCGACGAUCCCUAGCUGGUCUGAGAGGAUGACCGGCCACACUGGAACUGAGACACGGUCCAGACUCCUACGGGAGGCAGCAGUGGGGAAUAUUGCACAAUGGGCGCAAGCCUGAUGCAGCCAUGCCGCGUGUAUGAAGAAGGCCUUCGGGUUGUAAAGUACUGUCAGCGGGGAAGCGUUACCCGAAGAAGAAGCACCGGCUAACUCCGUGCCAGCAGCCGCGGUAAUUC